rnacentral:rRNA from 1 species
UACGUAGGGCGCAAGCGUUGUCCGGAAUUAUUGGGCGUAAAGAGCUCGUAGGCGGUUUGUCGCGUCUGCUGUGAAAACUCGGGGCUUAACUCCGGCCUGCAGUGGGUACGGGCAGACUAGAGUGCGGUAGGGGAGACUGGAAUUCCUGGUGUAGCGGUGAAAUGCGCAGAUAUCAGGAGGAACACCGGUGGCGAAGGCGGGUCUCUGGGCCGUAACUGACGCUGAGGAGCGAAAGCGUGGGGAGCGAACAGG